GAGGUGGCAGGAUUGCUUGAGUCAGGGAGGUUGAGGCGGCAGUGAGCUGUGAUUAAGCCACUGCACUCCAGCCUGGGUGACAGAGCAAGACUCUGUCUCA
rnacentral:miRNA from 1 species